GGAAACUCAGAGGUCGUCAUCACAUGGAAUUCCCCUGAAACUCCAUCCUCAAAUGGGGACACAAGAGCCCACUCUUUGGAUCCCAGGAAUCCCCCCUUCCUGCUUCUCUGGACCCUUCUCUCUCUAGGCAGGCUGCCUUCAUCUGUGCAAAUCUCUCUUCAAAGCAUUCCCAACUCAUGCUGGCUUUGGAGAGAAAAGGACUGGAACUGAGACCCACCCCCAACUGAUAAUGUAACAUGGACCUCUGGACCAUUUUGCAGAUUUCUUUAGAUUCUGCAGUCUCACAGGCUGUAACACCUCCAGAGAAGUACCACUGCUGGGGAAGCUCAUAUAUGCUGGUUCAAACUGGAUUCUCCAGAGACCAACAGACAAAGAAAUGGCUUUUGGAUAAAAUAGCCUGAAUUUAAACUGACUCAGAGGCAGGCCUCCUUUCUGAUCCAGCAAACAGAUAGGACCUUCUGUCCAGGAGAGCCUCAAUCCUUUCUGAGAAGGGUCGUAAGGACUGAAGUUGAGGAGGCAUCUGGCAGCUUCACCCGGUUCGCCCACUGGCGGUUCAUUCACCGCGCCCGGCUGAAUUGCGUCCCUCUCAACGGUGCCAUCCGCCACGGGAACCGGGACAAACGCUGCAGGAAGUGCGGGUACGUCAACGAAACCCUGCCCCAUGUCCUGUGCUGCUGCAAGCCCCAUGCCAGAGCCUGGCAGCUACGCCACAAUGCCAUCCAGGACCGUCUAGUGAAGGCCAUCAACCCGCGUCUGGGAGAGAUCACCGUCAACCGCGCCGUCCCCGGCACCGACAGCCCGCUGCGCCCAGACAUCGUCGUCACGGACAAGGUUGGAAAAAAGAUCAUCCUGGUUGACGUAACGAUUCCGUUCGAGAACAGGACCCCGGCUUUCCGCGAAGCCCGAGCCCGCAAGCUCGAAAAAUACGCCCCCCUGGCUGACACCCUGCGGACUAAGGGCUACGAGGUGCA